UUAUGUGGUAUUUCAAUUCGUGCAUAAAGAGAGAACUUCUGUUUAUCAAUGUUUUAGACCAGUUGAGCACCUGUGGCAAAACGGGUUACUUUUUAUGCACAGGUAAACAUAACCCAAAUUGAUCCAAUUAACAUGUAAGGGGUCAGAAUUGUCACCUCUUAUUACUUCAGGAUUGACUUUAACAUAAUAUGCUAAACAAUACAAUUUUUUAUUAAAAUCUAUCAUUAUUUAACAAAC
rnacentral:lncRNA from 1 species